rfam:Ixodes scapularis strain Wikel colony gcontig_1108379601088, whole genome shotgun sequence.
GCAGUCGUGGCCAAGUGGUUAAGGAGAUGGACUAGAAAUUUAUAGGGGUCUCCCCGCACAGGUUUGAAUCCUGUCAACUGCG